AGUCGAGCGAGAGAUGGGAGCUUGCUCCCUGAUCUUAGCGGCGGACGGGUGAGUAACACGUGGGCAACCUGCCCUGCAGACUGGGAUAACUCCGGGAAACCGGAGCUAAUACCGGGUAAUACAUCGCACCGCAUGGUGCAAUGUUGAAAGUUGGSUUUCGAGCUAACACUGCAGGAUGGGCCCGCGGCGCAUUAGCUAGUUGGUAAGGUAAUGGCUUACCAAGGCGACGAUGCGUAGCCGACCUGAGAGGGUGAUCGGCCACACUGGGACUGAGACACGGCCCAGACUCCUACGGGAGGCAGCAGUAGGGAAUCUUCCGCAAUGGACGAAAGUCUGACGGAGCAACGCCGCGUGAGUGACGAAGGCCUUCGGGUCGUAAAGCUCUGUUGUUAGGGAAGAACAAGUACCGUUCGAAUAGGGCGGUACCUUGACGGUACCUAACCAGAAAGCCACGGCUAACUACGUGCCAGCAGCCGCGGUAAUACGUAGGUGGCAAGCGUUGUCCGGAAUUAUUGGGCGUAAAGCGCGCGCAGGCGGUCUUUUAAGUCUGAUGUGAAAGCCCACGGCUCAACCGUGGAGGGUCAUUGGAAACUGGAGGACUUGAGUGCAGAAGAGGAGAGUGGAAUUCCACGUGUAGCGGUGAAAUGCGUAGAUAUGUGGAGGAACACCAGUGGCGAAG
rnacentral:rRNA from 2 species